rnacentral:sRNA from 1 species
AUUCUGGACUCCAGAGGGCCAUGAAAACUCUUCCUGAAGGAUGCAGAGGAAGAUUCGAACUGGAGGAAAACCUGAAAAUAAACAAUAACAACAAAAGUUCAAAACCUGAAAAGUGAACCAUGAAGCUCAGUAAAAAGGACCGAGGAGAAGACGAAGAAAGUGAUUCAGCGAAAAAGAAAUUGGACUGGUCCUGCUCGCUCCUCGUGGCCUCCCUCGCGGGCGCCUUCGGCUCCUCCUUCCUCUACGGUUACAAUCUGUCUGUGGUGAACGCCCCCACCCCGUACAUCAAGGCCUUUUACAAUGAGUCAUGGGAAAGAAGGCAUGGACGUCCAAUAGACCCAGACACUCUGACUCUGCUCUGGUCUGUGACUGUGUCCAUAUUCGCCAUCGGUGGACUUGUGGGGACGUUAAUGGUGAAGAUGAUUGGAAAGGUUCUUGGGAGGAAGCACACUUUGCUGGCCAAUAAUGGGUUUGCAAUUUCUGCUGCAUUGCUGAUGGCCUGCUCACUCCAGGCAGGAGCCUUUGAAAUGCUCAUCGUCGGACGUUUCAUCAUGGGCAUAGAUGGAGGCAUCGCCCUCAGUGUGCUCCCCAUGUACCUCAGUGAGAUCUCACCCAAGGAGAUCCGUGGCUCUCUGGGGCAGGUGACCGCCAUCUUUAUCUGCAUUGGUGUGUUCACUGGGCAGCUUCUGGGCCUGCCCGAGCUGUUGGGAAAGGAGAGUACCUGGCCAUACCUGUUUGGAGUGAUUGUGGUCCCUGCCGUUGUCCAGCUGCUGAGCCUUCCCUUUCUCCCGGACAGCCCACGCUACCUGCUCUUGGAGAAGCACAAUGAGGCGAGAGCUGUGAAAGCCUUCCAGACGUUCUUGGGUAAAGCAGACGUUUCCCGAGAGGUAGAGGAGGUGGCUGAGAGCCGUGUGCAGAGGAGCAUCCGCCUGGUGUCCGUGCUGGAGCUGCUGAGAGCUCCCUACGUCCGCUGGCAGGUGGUCACCGUGAUUGUCACCAUGGCCUGCUACCAGCUCUGUGGCCUCAACGCAAUUUGGUUCUAUACCAACAGCAUCUUUGGAAAAGCUGGGAUCCCUCCGGCAAAGAUCCCGUACGUCACCUUGAGUACAGGGGGCAUUGAGACUUUGGCUGCCAUCUUCUCUGGUUUGGUCAUUGAGCACCUGGGACGGAGACCCCUCCUCAUUGGUGGCUUUGGGCUGAUGGCCCUCUUCUUUGGGACCCUCACCAUCACACUGACCCUGCAGGACCGCGCCCCCUGGGUCCCCUACCUGAGUGUCGUGGGCAUUCUGGCCAUCAUCGCCUCUUUCUGCAGUGGGCCAGCCCUCCCAAGCCUUUUUGCAAUGAUCCUGAUUCUGUUCCAAGUGUUUGCAACUGUGGCUUUCUUUUGACUAUAGAAAUGCUGCAUUUCCAGGGCUUUAAAUGCUGGGUUCCCCCUCAGUGUCUAUGGAACUCCCUGGAGGGAAGGCCACCUGCACCUCCCAAUCCCAGAUCACCUGUCAGCCCCUGCCCUCCACUUCCCCAAUUCAUCUUCAACCUCCUGUGUUGACCCAGCACCUGGGCCUCGCUGGCUAGCAAUGACUUUAGCCACAAGAUUGGCCAGGGUUUAGAAGCUUCAUUUAAACUCACAUUGACAGUGUACGGUUUAAAGCCUCA